rnacentral:tRNA from 1 species
GGUGCCGUAGCCAAAUGGUCAAGGCGGGAGUCUGCAAAACUCCUAUUCGGCGGUUCGAUUCCGCCCGGCACCU